UGGGGGAAUAUUGGGGGCAAUGGGAGGCAACUCUGACCCAGCAAUGCCGCGUGAGUGAAGAAGGUUUUCGGAUUGUAAAACUCUUUAAGUGGGGACGAAGAAAGUGACAGUACCCACAGAAUAAGCAUCGGCUAACUACGUGCCAGCAGCCGCGGUAAUACGUAGGAUGCAAGCGUUAUCCGGAAUGACUGGGCGUAAAGGGUGCGUAGGCGGUUUACCAAGUUGGCAGCGUAAUUCCGGGGCUUAACUUCGGAACUACUGCCAAAACUGGCAGGCUUGAGUGCGGUAGAGGUAUGUGGAAUUCCUAGUGUAGCGGUGGAAUGCGUAGAUAUUAGGAGG
rnacentral:rRNA from 1 species